UCAUUAUUAAGAAGUAAUUAUUGGAGGUGCAUUUACGGGAGAAGCUUUGCAAAAGAGAGAGUCUCAUUUUUGGCAUGAGGGAGAGCUUCCAGAAGAAGGGAACCCUUCCUUCCUUCCAUUUCCAGCCGUCCAAAGAGCACCCUUGGGAAGCUGUACCAACUUCUGAAGGGCUGAGAGGAGGAUCUGGGUUGGGCAUCUGGUGAGAGGAGAGUCCUUGCAGCAAGAUCUGGGAGAGGAAGUGAAGAAUUGUUGAGGUUGCAAGGAGAUCUUGAUCUGCACAUCUGGGAGGAGAUAGAUCCCAAAAUUUACAUGGAAGUCUUCAUGAGAUGAAGAGAUGUCGCGUGAUCUGGCGCAAGUGCAGGAAGAGAUGGAAGAGUGUAAUAGAAGGAUUCAAUGUUAUCUUUAAUGUUUUGUCCGAGCUGUAAACUUUGUAUAGAUUUUGAGCUUGAGGUUCGGGAUAUUACCGUAAUUGUAUUAUUGUAAUAUUUCAAGUUUUGAAUUUUAAAAAAAAAAUGGGACAAAUUUUUUU